rnacentral:rRNA from 1 species
UACGUAGGGAGCGAGCGUUAUCCGGAUUUAUUGGGUGUAAAGGGUGUGUAGGCGGUAAAUUAAGUCUGAGGUAUAAGUCCGGAGCUCAACUCCGGUUCGCCUUGGAAACUGAGUUACUUGAGUGCGGUAGAGGCAAGUGGAAUUUCUAGUGUAGCGGUAAAAUGCGUAGAUAUUAGAAGGAACACCAGUGGCGAAGGCGACUUGCUGGGCCGCAACUGACGCUGAGACACGAAAGCGUGGGGAGCGAAUAG